rnacentral:misc_RNA from 1 species
GAACGCACCUUGCACCCUUUGGUAUUCCGAAGGGUAUGCCCGUUUGAGUGUCAUUGUAAUCUCACACCCAAGACUUCUUGUCGAGGGAGGUGGACUUGGACGUUUUGCUGCGUAACUGCGGCUCGUCUCAAAAGUGUCAGCGCGGCUCUAGAUGAAGCGUUUGAUGCCCAGUGUAAUAAGUAUUUCGCUGUGGUUAGCAUUAGUCUAUGAGUUGUUGUGCUCUCUAAUCGUCUUCGGACUGGACCAGCGAUGGUUCAUUUGACAACUUGGCCUCAAAUCGGGUAGGACUACCCGCUGAACUUAAG